AGUCAAGCUACAAAGAGCGCAAGGGGAAUGCCUUGGCACUGGGAGCCGACGAAGGACGUAGCGAUCUACGAUAAGCCACGGUGAGCCGAAAGCAGGCAUCGACCCGUGGAUUUCCGAAUGGGGCAACCUGGCUGAAUAAGAAUCAGUCAACAUACGGUGAAUAAAAUAGUCGUAUGUAGGGAACCGCCUGAACUGAAACAUCUAAGUAGGGCGAGGAAAAGAAAUCAACCGAGAUUCCGCAAGUAGUGGCGAGCGAACGCGGAAGAGGCCAAACCGAGAGUAGUAAUACUUUCGGGGUUCGGACAGCAUAAGGUAUGCUAAAGGUUAGCAGAAGGACAUGGGACGGUCCACCACAGAGAGUGAUAGUCUCGUAUGCGAAAACCUAAAGCAGCCGGCUGGAUCCAGAGUACCGCCGGACACGUGAAACCCGGUGGGAAUACGGGGGGACCAUCCUCCAAGCCUAAAUACUACCCAGUGACCGAUAGCGUAUAGUACUGUGAAGGAAAGGUGAAAAGAACCCCGGGAGGGGAGUGAAAAGAACCUGAAACCUUGUGCUUACAAGCACACAAAGCACGUCAAAGUGUGAUGUGGUACCUUUUGUAGAAUGGUCCGGCGAGUGAAUGUAACUGGCGAGGUUAAGUUCUUAAGGAACGGAGCCGAAGCGAAAGCAAGUCUG
rnacentral:ncRNA from 1 species